CGAGCACGCGCGUGUGGCAUAUCAAUAAGCGGAGGAAAAGAAACUAACAAGGAUUCCCUUAGUAACGGCGAGUGAAGCGGGAAGAGCUCAAAUUUGAAAUCUUCAAGGUUUGACCUUGACGAAUUGUAGUUUAAAGAAGUGUUUUCGGUUAGAGGAGUUCGGUAAAAGUUCUUUGGAAUAGGACAUCAUAGAGGGUGAGAAUCCCGUAUUUGACCAUUACUUUCUAGCUUUGUGAUACACUUUCAAAGAGUCGGAUUGUUUGGGAAUGCAGUCCAAAAUGGGUGGUAAAUUUCAUCUAAAGCUAAAUAUUGGCGAGAGACCGAUAGCGAACAAGUACCGUGAGGGAAAGAUGAAAAGAACUUUGAAAAGAGAGUUAAACAGUACGUGAAAUUGUCAAAAGGGAAGCGUUUGACACCAGUGUUGUUUUUCCGAAAAUCAAUUACGAAUGUUUUGUUUUUAAGGAGUUAUGACUUCAUCGGCUUGCUUCUCUCUUUACUGAAACUUUCUUAAUGCACUUUUCGGUUAACAAGUCAACAUCAAUUUCUUUUGUUGUAAAAGGGUAUGAGGAAGGUGGCUUUCUUUUCGGAGAAAGUGUUUAUAGCCUUGUACCUCUAGCAAUCGGAGAGAUUGAGGUCUGCAGCGUAGAUCCUUCGGGGUUAGAUACAUUUGUGCUAAGUUGUAGCUUUUCAUAGACAACUUGUUGACUAUGUUUAGUCUUGUAGCUUACUCGCUUACUGCUAUUUUACCUACGCUUAGGAUGUUGAGUAGCGACAUACGCAC
rnacentral:rRNA from 1 species